rnacentral:rRNA from 1 species
GCGAAAAGUAUUUCACUACUAGCGGAGCGCGUAUGUUAGGUCCCGAAAAAUGGCGAACUAUUUCUGCUCAGGCUGAAGUCAUUGGAAACUUUGAUGGAAGGUCUCAACGGUUUUGACGUGCAAAUCGAUCGUGUGAAGCAGGUAUAGGGGCGAAAGACCAAUCGAGCCAUUUAGUUGCUGGUUCUCUCUGAAGUUUCCCUCAGGAUAGCGGUCCCUACAGAAUAAUGUGCGGUAAAGAGAAUGAUUAGAGGUAUCUGGGAAAGCUUUUCCUAGGCCGAUUUUCAAACUCAGAAUGCGCAUCAAUGAUUUCUUCUUGAAUUGUUGAAUUAUCUUAGGGAUCAGUGGGCCUUUUUUGGUAAGCAGAUCGGGCGAUGAGGGUUCCUCCUAGAGUCGAGAUAACGUGCUCAAAGCUACAUCAAUUAAAUGAUGUCAGUGCAUACUGACAGCAGGAGGGUGGCCAUGGAAGUUGGAAUCCACUAAGGAGUGUGUUACAACUCACCUGCCGAAUGUACUGGCUCAGAAAAUUGAUAGCUAACCAGUAGCAACUAAUUCUCGACGCUAAGUAAGAGAGCGUAGUGGUCGGACAGAACCCAGAGCGUGAGCCCUGGCCGACCGGCCACCAUUGCAGAUCUCGGUGGUAGUAGCACUUGCUAAAAUGGAACCUUUUAGGACCACUUGGACGAAGGUUCCACGACAACAGCCAAUGUUCGUGGGUAAGUCGGCCUUAAUCGCGUAGUCGAGAAAAGCAACCAGGUUAAUAUUCCUGGACAACACAGGAAAACGGUAACGUUUGCGCGGGUAUUUGUUAGGUGUUGGAAGGAGGGGGACUUUCGUCCCUCUUAACAGCUGUACGCCUCUGGAACUGUGUGAAACAGAGAUAGAGGCAGACACUGGAAUAAGUACCUCUUGCGGGUACUCCUGAGCCAGCACUUGACCUCUGAAAAAUACCCGCGUUCUGUGGUGUAGCCGUACCAAUAGCCGCAUCAGGUCUCCGAGACGCAAAGUCUUCGGUUCAAUGGAUGAAUGUAAGCAAGGGAAGUCGACAAGUUCGAUCCGUAACUUCGGGAAAAGGAUUGGCUUCGUGGACUUAGUGAGGAAUGUCUGUCCUAGCGAGGAAUGUGACUCUACCGAGUUGCUCCUACGCUGGGCACAGCAACCUCACUAGCAAUACAUGAAACUGACGCGCAAACGAGGAAUCUGACUGUUUAAUCGAAACGUAGCAUCAUGCAGCGUGGUGUGGACAUGAUGUGAUUUCUGCUCAGUGCUUUGAAAGUUAAAGUUGAGCAACCGACAGAAGCGCAGGUCAACAGCGGGAGUAACUAUGACUCUCUUAAGGUAGCCAAAUGCCUCGUCAUCUAAUUAGUGACGUGCAUGAAUGGAGCAACGAGAUUCCUACUGUCCCUGUUUACUAUUCAGCGAAACCACAGCCAAGGGAACGGGCUUGGUACACACAGCGGGGAAAGAAGACCCUGUUGAGCUUGACUCUAGUCUGGAUCGGUUUGGCGACUUGUCAGGUGUAGCAUAGGUGGGAGAAUUUCGCCAAUGAAAUACCACUACUGACAUAGUUUCUGAACCCACGAUGUUCGUGCAGCAUCAGGAUGCAUUUUCAUCGGCAAAUCCAGAUCGGGAGUUUGGCUGGGGCGGCACAUCUGUUAAAAGAUAACGCAGGUGUCCUAAGACGAGCUCAGACAGAUCAGAAAUCUGUCGUAG